rnacentral:rRNA from 6 species
CUGCCAGUAGUCAUAUGCUUGUCUA